UCGAUUUGGAGUUUGUUGCCUAGAGUGAUGGGCUCCGAAGCUAACGCGAUAAAUCGACCGCCUGGGGAGUACGGCCGCAAGGUUAAAACUCAAAUGAAUUGACGGGGGCCCGCACAAGCGGUGGAGCAUGUGGUUUAAUUCGAUGCAACGCGAAGAACCUUACCUGGUCUUGACAUCCACAGAAUCUUGCAGAGAUGCGGGAGUGCCUUCGGGAACUGUGAGACAGGUGCUGCAUGGCUGUCGUCAGCUCGUGUUGUGAAAUGUUGGGUUAAGUCCCGCAACGAGCGCAACCCUUAUCCUUUGUUGCCAUCGGUUAGGCCGGGAACUCAAAGGAGACUGCCGUUGAUAAAGCGGAGGAAGGUGGGGACGACGUCAAGUCAUCAUGGCCCUUACGACCAGGGCUACACACGUGCUACAAUGGCGUAUACAAAGGGAGGCGACCUCGCGAGAGCAAGCGGACCUCAUAAAGUACGUCUAAGUCCGGAUUGGAGUCUGCAACUCGACUCCAUGAAGUCGGAAUCGCUAGUAAUCGUGAAUCAGAAUGUCACGGUGAAUACGUUCCCGGGCCU
rnacentral:rRNA from 1 species